rnacentral:pre_miRNA from 1 species
CGGCACGGGUCCGGUCGCCCGACCGCCGCGCAUCCCAGUCACUCCACACUUCUGAGUCUCUCUUCUUCCUCGUUUUAAAUGCGAAUUCAUUUCUUAGUCGGGGGUUGUCGUGCGUUGGCCGGCGUGCGCCUAGCAACAGCUGGGGCGCGAAAACGAGGAAGAAGAUAGACUCAGAAGUGUGGAGUGACUGGGAUGCGCGGCGGUCGGGCGACCGGACCCGUGCC